UUGUCUUUAUGGCAAAUGUGAGAUGCAGUGUAUGGAAUGUCAAAUUUCUAGUAUGAGAAAUUAACGAUUUAAGUCCUUCUUAAAUGAGGCCAUUUACCCAUAGAGGGUGCCAGGCCCGUAUAACGUUAAUGAUUACUAGAUGGCAUUUCCAAAGAGUCGUGUUGCUUGAUAGUGCAGCACUAAGUGGGUGGUAAACUCCAUCUAAAACUAAAUAUAACCAUGAGACCGAUAGUAAACAAGUACCGUGAGGGAAAGUUGAAAAGAACUCUGAAUAGAGAGUUAAAUAGUACGUGAAACUGCUUAGAGGUUAAGCCCGAUGAACCUGAAUAUCCAUUAUAGAAAAUUCAUCAUUAUGAUUUUAAUAUUAAUAAUAUUAUAAUAAUGGUGUGCAUUUUUUCUAUAACGGACAUUGUAAUCUAUUAACAUAAAUAUAUUUAUCAUAAGAUCAAUAUGCGUAAGUUUAUUCAAAUUAUUUUGCUUGCAAUUUAACAUAGAAUAAAUGCUCUUGAUUUGAUAAAGUGUUGAUAGAUUUAUUGUAUAUAGUGCUUAAAUAUUUAUAUUUUAUAAUAGCAUAUUAAUCAUUGAUUUUUAUGUUUAUUAUAUGCACUUAUAUGAUUAACAAUGCGAAAGAUUCAGGAUACCUUCGGGACCCGUCUUGAAACACGGACCAAGGAGUCUAACAUAUUUGCAAGUUAUUGGGUAUCAAAACCUAAUAGCGAAAUUAACAUAACUUUAAUGGGAUUAGUUUUUAGAUUAUUUAUAGUCUAUUAAUUCAAUCCCGGGGCGUUCUAUAUAGUUAUGUAUAAUAAUAUUUAUAUUAUUUAUACCUCUAACUAGAGCGUACCUUGAGCAUAUAUGCUGUGACCCGAAAGAUGGUGAACUAUACUUGAUCAGGUUGAAGUCAGGGGAAACCCUGAUGGAAGACCGAAACAGUUCUGACGUGCAAAUCGA
rnacentral:rRNA from 1 species